rnacentral:rRNA from 1 species
UACAGAGGGUGCGAGCGUUGUCCGGAAUCACUGGGCGUAAAGGGCGCGUAGGUGGCGCGACAAGUCAGUGGUGAAAGCUCGAUGCUUAACAUCGAGUCGGCCACUGAUACUGUUGGGCUUGAGCACUGUAGAGGCUAAUGGAAUUCCGGGUGUAGCGGUGGAAUGCGUAGAGAUCCGGAAGAACACCGGUGGCGAAGGCGGUUAACUGGGCAGUUGCUGACACUGAGGCGCGACAGCGUGGGGAGCAAACAGG